GGGGGCCAUCGCGUGUCCAGCAUAGUGCUGACCAAAGUGUGUACAGUCACCACAUUCUGGGACCCCGAGUCAAAGCUUCUCUGGUAGAAGAGAGAUCAGUUUCAGAGAGCGGUGAAUGCCUAGGGAAGACAUGGAAACCAGAGAGUAAAUACUUCCAAGAAGUUUCACUUUGAAGAGGAAGAGAAAGCAGGGUCUGCAGCUACGGAGGAAUAAGGGAGCCAAGCUUGGCUUCAUUUUUCCCUGUUAUAAAUGGACUUUAUUUAUAUGGCAUAGAACAUGGUUUCUUGGAAGAUCUAUCAGAAUAAUCCCAAGGAAAGACCCAGACUAAUCUGGCUUGGUAGCAUGAUCAUUCCUGGGUCCAUUUUUAUGGCCCAUUGUGGUCACCCACUUUUCCCUGUGGGUAGGGAUAAAAGGGAGGUUCAUAUUGAAGAGCAAUGCCGUGACAGCUGAGAUACUAAAACAGGCUUCUUUUUCUGGAGAAGUGAAAUGAAUACACAA